rnacentral:rRNA from 1 species
UACGAAGGUCCCAAGCGUUGUUCGGAAUCACUGGGCGUAAAGGGAGCGUAGGCGGCGUGGUAAGUCAGAUGUGAAAUCCCGGGGCUCAACCCCGGAACUGCAUCCGAUACUGCCAUGCUAGAGGAUUGGAGAGGUAGCUGGAAUUCUUGGUGUAGCAGUGAAAUGCGUAGAGAUCAAGAGGAACACUCGUGGCGAAAGCGAGCUACUGGACAAUUCCUGACGCUGAGGCUCGAAAGCGUGGGGAGCAAACAGG